GUGUCAGCCGCCGCGGUAAUACGUAGGGUGCGAGCGUUAAUCGGAAUUACUGGGCGUAAAGCGUGCGCAGGCGGUUUCGUAAGCCAGAUGUGAAAUCCCCGGGCUUAACCUGGGAACUGCAUUUGGGACUGCGAGGCUAGAGUACGGCAGAGGGAGGUGGAAUUCCACGUGUAGCAGUGAGAUGCGUAGAUAUGUGGAGGAACACCGAUGGCGAAGGCAGCCUCCUGGGCUAGUACUGACGCUCAUGCACGAAAGCGGGGGGAGCAAACAGGAUUAGAUACCCUGGUAGUCCACGCCCUAAACGAUGACAACUAGUUGUUGGGGAUUUAACAUCCUUAGUAACGUAGCUAACGCGUGAAGUUGUCCGCCUGGGGAGUACGGUCGCAAGAUUAAAACUCAAAUGAAUUGACGGGG
rnacentral:rRNA from 1 species